AGAGUUUGAUCCUGGCUCAGAUUGAACGCUGGCGGCAUGCCUUACACAUGCAAGUCGAACGGCAGCGCGGGAGCAAUCCUGGCGGCGAGUGGCGAACGGGUGAGUAAUACAUCGGAACGUGCCCAAUCGUGGGGGAUAACGCAGCGAAAGCUGUGCUAAUACCGCAUACGAUCUACGGAUGAAAGCAGGGGAUCGCAAGACCUUGCGCGAAUGGAGCGGCCGAUGGCAGAUUAGGUAGUUGGUGAGGUAAAGGCUCACCAAGCCUUCGAUCUGUAGCUGGUCUGAGAGGACGACCAGCCAUGCCGCGUGCAGGAUGAAGGCCUUCGGGUUGUAAACUGCUUUUGUACGGAACGAAACGGCCUUUUCUAAUAAAGAGGGCUAAUGACGGUACCGUAAGAAUAAGCACCGGCUAACUACGUGCCAGCAGCCGCGGUAAUACGUAGGGUGCAAGCGUUAAUCGGAAUUACUGGGCGUAAAGCGUGCGCAGGCGGUUAUGUAAGACAGUUGUGAAAUCCCCGGGCUCAACCUGGGAACUGCAUCUGUGACUGCAUAGCUAGAGUACGGUAGAGGGGGAUGGAAUUCCGCGUGUAGCAGUGAAAUGCGUAGAUAUGCGGAGGAACACCGAUGGCGAAGGCAAUCCCCUGGACCUGUACUGACGCUCAUGCACGAAAGC
rnacentral:rRNA from 1 species